rnacentral:rRNA from 1 species
GAUGAACGCUGGCGGCGUGCUUAACACAUGCAAGUCGAACGGAAAGGCCCAAGCUUGCUUGGGUACUCGAGUGGCGAACGGGUGAGUAACACGUGGGUGAUCUGCCCCGCACUUCGGGAUAAGCCUGGGAAACUGGGUCUAAUACCGGAGAGGACCACUUCUUGGGGGUUGUGGUGGAAAGUUUUUUCGGUGUGGGAUGAGCUCGCGGCCUAUCAGCUUGUUGGUGGGGUAAUGGCCUACCAAGGCGUCGACGGGUAGCCGGCCUGAGAGGGUGUACGGCCACAUUGGGACUGAGAUACGGACCAGAAUCCUACGGGAGGCAGCAGUGGGGAAUAUUGCACAAUGGGCGCAAGCCUGAUGCAGAGACGCCGCGUGGGGGAUGACGGCCUUCAGGUUGUAAACUCCUUUCGCUAGGGACGAAGCGCAAGUGACGGUACCUAGAGAAGAAGCACCGGCUAACUACGUG